rnacentral:rRNA from 1 species
UACGGAGGAUCCAAGCGUUAUCCGGAAUCAUUGGGUUUAAAGGGUCCGUAGGCGGUUUGGUAAGUCAGUGGUGAAAGCCCAUCGCUCAACGAUGGAACGGCCAUUGAUACUGCCAGACUUGAAUUACUGGGAAGUAACUAGAAUAUGUAGUGUAGCGGUGAAAUGCUUAGAUAUUACAUGGAAUACCAAUUGCGAAGGCAGGUUACUACCAGUGGAUUGACGCUGAUGGACGAAAGCGUGGGGAGCGAACAGGAUUAGAACCUA